UACAGAGGGGGCAAGCGUUGUUCGGAAUUACUGGGCGUAAAGGGCGCGUAGGCGGCCUGCUAAGUCGAACGUGAAAUCCCCGGGCUCAACCCGGGAACUGCGUCCGAUACUGGCAGGCUUGAAUCCGGGAGAGGGAUGCGGAAUUCCAGGUGUAGCGGUGAAUGACGUAGAUAUCUGGAGGAACACCGGUGGCGAAGGCGGCAUCCUGGACCGGCAUUGACGCUGAGGCGAGAAAGCCGGGGAAGCA
rnacentral:rRNA from 1 species